UACGUAGGGGGCAAGCGUUAUCCGGACUUACUGGGUGUAAAGGGAGCGUAGACGGCGAUGCAAGUCUGAAGUGAAAGGCGGGGGCCCAACCCCCGGACUGCUUUGGAAACUGUAUGGCUGGAGUGCAGGAGAGGUAAGUGGAAUUCCUAGUGUAGCGGUGAAAUGCGUAGAUAUUAGGAGGAACACCAGUGGCGAAGGCGGCUUACUGGACUGUAACUGACGUUGAGGCUCGAAAGCGUGGGGAGCAAACAGG
rnacentral:rRNA from 1 species